AACUACUUAUAAGUGUUUUGAAAACACUAACCAGAUAUAAUCUAGUAGUUU
rnacentral:tRNA from 1 species